UAGUCCACGCCGUAAACGAUGAUUACUAGGUGUAGGAGGUAUCGACCCCUUCUGUGCCGCAGCUAACGCAAUAAGUAAUCCGCCUGGGGAGUACGACCGCAAGGUUGAAACUCAAAGGAAUUGACGGGUCCCCGCACAAGCAGCGGAGCAUGUUGUUUAAUUCGAAGCAACGCGAAGAACCUUACCAGGGCUUGACAUCUACAGAAUCCUUUAGAGAUAGAGGAAUGCCUUUUUGGAACUGUAAGACAGGUGGUGCAUGGCUGUCGUCAGCUCGUGUCGUGAGAUGUUGGGUUAAGUCCCAUAACGAGCGCAACCCUUAUCAUUAGUUGCCAUCGGGUCAUGCCGGGGACUCUAAUGAGACUGCCAGUGUAAACUGUGAGGAAGGUGGGGAUGACGUCAAAUCAGCACGGCCCUUAUGUCCAGGGCUACACACGUGUUACAAUGGUCGAUACAAAGGGCAGCUACCUGGUGACAGGAUGCUAAUCUCAAAAGUCGAU
rnacentral:rRNA from 1 species